GGGGGGGUGGGUUCUGAUGGUGCAACUGCAGCAGCUAUGAAGUCACAGCGUAAUUAGGGCUGGCCAACAGCUCCCGGGCAGAUCCUGAGCUGCCUUACUCCGGAAUUCCUGCUGUCCUGCCCUGCUCACGGCAGCGGGAAGGUAGCAGGAGACAGCCUUGGGAUGGGCUGGACCUCCAGGGAAAGAGGUGAAUUCUGGUGCUGCCACGGACUCUGAGCAGAAUCACAGGGUGGGAAGGGACUCAGAGGGAUCAUCAGUGCAACUCCUGACUCCAGGACACGCCAGCAAUCCCACCCUGUGCCUGAGAGCAGUGCCCAAACACAGCCUUGGGGCUGGGACCUUUCCUUCCACAGAAGACUGAACCGUGUCUGCUUUGUCCCAGUUCCUGCCAGCUGCACACAGGAUGUGGCAAUUCCAGCCUCUCCCUCCCUCAUCCCCAGCCUUGCUUUCUAGUUUCAAGGAAUCUGAAGCACCAGUGGGAAUAGCUGGAAGGAGGAAGGCCAGGAUCUCCAGUCUGGCCGUGACCAAGGCUGUCAGCCAGCCCCAUCCCAGGGCUGCUGCACCUCCACGCUCCAUCUCCCACAUCUCACCUGCCCUCUGGAAGUGCUGGAGUAUCCCAAAGUGGUUUAGCAGAGCUGCUUGGCCUUUUUGGCAGAAGGGACAGGCACACAGCACCACGGCACUCUCCUGACCUGGGCAACACCAGCAGGGCAUCUGGGCACCUGCACUCUCCACACAAGGUGCCAGAAUCCAGAGCAGGGCACAGCCAGUGAGUGUGGCACCGAACAAAGCAGGAGGAUGUGGCUGCCUCCACUCCAAGAGGUGAGCGAUUUACUCAAGUUACACUGGAAUAAAGAGUUCAGGAGUUGAUUAAAGGAUUUCCUCCACAGCAAAACCAUUUAAUCCUUAUUUAUUAUUUCUCCUGUAGCAGCACUUCCAACUGCCAAGCUCUGAACCCUUGUCCUGCUGUGCCACCCAUGGCUGGCAACAGAUCAUCCGUGCUGUCACUGUAUUUUACAAACUGUCUCUCUGUGUCACUUAACAUAUAGAAAAUCUAUAAAAACCUGUAAAAGUUGAUAAAUCCUGGAACAUCUUGAACUCCAAGCGAUAAAUCUGCUCCAGGGCAGGCAAAGAGCUCAGCACAAUGUUUAUGCACCUCACAAGCCCCAUUCUAAGGGGUUUAAAUGGCUCUUAAGUUUUGCAUCAGCCUCGUGCUGGCCUUCUGCAGGAAGGUGAAUUUCAUGGAAAGAAUAAAAGAGGACCCCAGAAUCCUGGCCCUGAGCCCAUCUCUCAAUAAACCAAUUUUGAAUAUCCUAGGCUGUGUUAAAGCCAUUUCUGGGUGCACACUGGCUACAUUGCCAGUAUCUGACUCAUUAAUGGAAUAUACUUUGAGCCAAUUCUGAUCUCAUUUACAGCACCGUAAAUCCAGGGCAACCCAAUUGACUCCAGUGGAGUUACUCCAAAUUUCC
rnacentral:lncRNA from 12 species